rnacentral:lncRNA from 1 species
GUCUUAUCUCAAACCUUGAGUCUUAUGAAAAUAAAAUAUAUUUUCGAGAUUGACAAUUUUAUUGAACAAAUUCUAAAACUCUCAAAUGGAAUGAUUAAUUAAGGGGGAGAAAGAAAAUUUCAGAGGGAGAGAUCAUAUAGAACUUAAUCGUAUAAAUUCACAUCUAAAGAUGAGACAAAGAAUACAAAAUGUAAAGUGGUAUUAAACUUUGUGCUUCAUUGAAUAUCUUUUGAAAGUUGGAUUUCCAUCUGUAUUCAUCGGUAAAUCAUUUAUUUCUGAAAAUUUAAUUGAAAAGGAUUCCAUCUAUCUUAGUUUUGAAAAUUUAUCUUGGAAUCUACUUAUGAGUUCUUAUUGGCUUGCACUUUGGUGUUUCAAUCAUGAGCCAAUUCAUUUUAAUUUAUUUUGAUGCUAUGAUCUUUAAAGGAGUAAAAGAAAGUCUUUAAGAGAGGUUUAAAAGAACUUUCAAAGCCCUGAAUUUUAUAUAUCCUACAUUGCAUAAAUUCAUGUC